CAUACCAGUCUCAUCAAAUGAAAACCAUGUAUUUCCCUUGGAUAUUACUCAGUGUUUGAGAAUGUUAUACCUGUACAGAAACUAACCAAUUGAGUGAUAGAAACAAGUAAUUGAAAUGGUGGUUCCUUAUGUCUGGUAACAGUUUGACAGUGUGUUAGACAGAAUAAGGCAAGUGUUGCAUCUUGUUUAGUUUUAGCUUCUUUAUGCCUAACCAACCUAAUACAGUGUUGAGUAGUUAAGGAAAUUCCUUUGGACUGAUUGAUAUAAUUGUGUUUUUCACUUUUUUUAUUAAGAUCCCCGUCGAGGUCAAGAUCAAGAUCCAGGUCUAUUUCACGACCAAGAAGCAGCCGAUCAAAGUCCAGAUCUCCAUCUCCAAAAAGAAGUCGUUCCCCAUCAGGAAGUCCUCGCAGAAGUGCAAGUCCUGAAAGAAUGGACUGAAGCUCUCAAGUUCACCCUUUAGGGAAAAGUUAUUUUGUUUACAUUAUUAUAAGGGAUUUGUGAUGUCUGUAAAGUGUAACCUAGGAAAGAUAAUUCAACCAUCUAAUCAAAAUGGAUCUGGAUUACUAUGUAAAUUCACAGCAGUAAGAUAAUAUAAAUUUUUGUUGAAUGUAUUAACAUCAUAUGGUCUGAAAAUGUGGGUUUUUAUUUGGCACAUUUAAAUAAAAUGUUUCUAACUA
rnacentral:sRNA from 1 species